rnacentral:sRNA from 1 species
GAAAAUUGGUGGAUUUCAAGUAAUCAAGCAAUCAAAGGUGGUGAGUCCUCCGAUAAGGGCAAGGAAAUUGUACCCGAGGAUCGAUAGUCGAAGUACUAUAGAAAUUUGACUCCUGAAAUAUGGGCUAAGUUCUGUGGACUAGCUUAUUAUAGGGGCAUGGAAUCCUAACAUAUUUUACCUCGGUUGGAGAGGCGAGUAGGGUAACUCCCGAGGUAUAACUUUUAGAGUUCACUUCACGCCAAAC